rnacentral:lncRNA from 1 species
CAAGUGAUGUCACACUGUUAUAAGUUUGUAUGCUUAACAAACCUUGAAUCAUUAGUAGAUAAGUCUGAAACGAGUUCCUGAUCCGGGACUGUCGAAGGAUGUCCAAGAAGGAUGUGGCGUGUUUCUGGAUCGUACUGCUCCUGUGCCAAGAGCUACGGACCGACCCGAUCGCAGAGAUGGGACCAUCCUCCGGCAUCCUGAUUCAAGAGACACCAGGGUUCAUCUUGACAGAGAAGAGGAUCCUGACCCGACGUGUGUUCGUCAGCUUGGAC